rnacentral:rRNA from 1 species
AACGAACGCUGGCGGCAUGCCUAACACAUGCAAGUCGAACGAGACCUUCGGGUCUAGUUGCGCACGGGUGCGUAACGCGUGGGAACCUUCCCUUAGGUUCGGAAUAACUCCCUGAAAGGGGUGCUAAUACCGGAUAAUGUCUUCGAACCAAAGAUUUAUCGCCUUUGGGUGGGCCCGCGUUGGUUUAGCUAGUUGGUAGGGUAAAAGCCUACCAAGGCGACGAUCCAUAGCUGGUCUGAGAGGAAGAGCAGCCACACUGGGAGUGAGACACGGCCCAGACUCCUACGGGAGGGAGCAGUGGGGAAUAUUGGACAAUGGGCGAGAGCCUGAUCCAGCAAUGCCGCGUAAGUGAUGAAGGCCUUAGGGUUGUAAAGCUCUUUUACCCGGGAUGAUAAUGACAGUACCGGGAGAAUAAGCACCGGCUAACUCCGUG